rnacentral:rRNA from 1 species
GAUCCUGGCUCAGGAUGAACGCUAGCGACAGGCUAACACAUGCAAGUCGAGGGGCAGCAUAAAAGUAGCAAUACUUGGUGGCGACCGGCGCACGGGUGAGUAACGCGUAUGCAACCUACCUAUCAGAGGGGAAUAACCCCGGCGAAAGUCGGACUAAUACCGCAUAAAACAGGGACACCGCAUGGUGAUAUUUGUUAAAGAAAUUCGCUGAUAGAUGGGCAUGCGUUCCAUUAGGUAGUUGGUGAGGUAACGGCUCACCAAGCCGACGAUGGAUAGGGGAACUGAGAGGUUGGUCCCCCACACUGGUACUGAGACACGGACCAGACUCCUACGGGAGGCAGCAGUGAGGAAUAUUGGUCAAUGGGCGAGAGCCUGAACCAGCCAAGUCGCGUGGAAAAGGAAGAAGGAUCUAUGGUUCGUAAACUUCUUUUGCAGGGGAAUAAUGUGCAGGACGUGUCCUGUUUUGUAUGUACCCUGAGAAUAAGGAUCGGCUAACUCCGUGCCAGCCGCCGC